rnacentral:tRNA from 1 species
GCCGGUGUGGCGGAAUUGGUAGACGCAACGGACUUAAAAUCCGUCAGGGGCAACCCUGUGCCGGUUCGACUCCGGCCAUCGGCACCA